AUUGAACGCUGGCGGAAUGCUUUACACAUGCAAGUCGAACGGCAGCACGGACUUCGGUCUGGUGGCGAGUGGCGAACGGGUGAGUAAUAUAUCGGAACGUAUCCAAUAAUGGGGGAUAACUAAUCGAAAGGUUGGCUAAUACCGCAUACGUCCUACGGGAGAAAGCUAGGGACCUUCGGGCCUGGCGUUAAUGGAGCGGCCGAUAUCGGAUUAGCUAGUUGGGGAGGUAAAGGCUCACCAAGGCGACGAUCCGUAGCUGGUCUGAGAGGACGACCAGCCACACUGGAACUGAGGAACGGUCAAGACUCCUACGGGAGGCAGCAGUGGGGAAUUUUGGACAAUGGGCGAAAGCCUGAUCCAGCCAUGCCGCGUGAGUGAAGAAGGCCUUCGGGUUGUAAAGCUCUUUCGCAAGAGAAGAAAACUUACCCUCUAACAUAGGGUGAGGUUGACGGUAUCUUGAUAAGAAGCACCGGCUAACUACGUGCCAGCCGCCGCGGUAA
rnacentral:rRNA from 1 species